UACGGAGGGUGCAAGCGUUAUCCGGAUUCACUGGGUUUAAAGGGUGCGUAGGAGGGCAGGUAAGUCAGUGGUGAAAUCUCCAAGCUUAACUUGGAAACUGCCGUUGAUACUAUCUGUCUUGAAUAUUGUGGAGGUGAGCGGAAUAUGUCAUGUAGCGGUGAAAUGCUUAGAUAUGACAUAGAACACCAAUUGCGAGGGCAGCUCGCUACACAUAUAUUGACUCUGAGGCACGAAAGCGUGGGGAUCAAACAGG
rnacentral:rRNA from 1 species